rnacentral:rRNA from 1 species
GAUGAACGCUGGCGGCGUGCCUAAUACAUGCAAGUCGAGCGAACAGACGAGGAGCUUGCUCCUCUGACGUUAGCGGCGGACGGGUGAGUACCACGUGGAUAACCUACCUAUAAGACUGGGAUAACUUCGGGAAACCGGAGCUAAUACCGGAUAAUAUAUUGAACCGCAUGGUUCAAUAGUGAAAGACGGUUUUGCUGUCACUUAUAGAUGGAUCCGCGCCGCAUUAGCUAGUUGGUAAGGUAACGGCUUACCAAGGCAACGAUGCGUAGCCGACCUGAGAGGAUGAUCGGCCACACUGGAACUGAGACACGGUCCAGACUCCUACGGGAGGCAGCAGUAGGGAAUCUUCCGCAAUGGGCGAAAGCUUGACGGAGCAACGCCGCGUGAGUGAUGAAGGUCUUCGGAUCGUAAACCUCUGUUAUUAGGGAAGAACAAAUGUGUAAGUAACUAUGCACGUCUUGACGGUACCUAAUCAGAAAGCCACGGCUAACUACGUG